CAGUUAUGUAAAGUGACAACUGAUUAUCCUGACUUUUCGCUAGCAACUUACUUUUAUUGUUUUGUAGAAUCUAAAGUUGUUAAAUGUAACGUGAACAAGUAUUAUUACUAAAAGAAGCUUUCAUCUCAAACCCGAUGUCCCGAGUCAUUACUUUGAAGAUAGUUAUUCUAUAUUUUGGUGCCGAAACCCGGGACAAGUAUGAGCUACGACGAAGAUUGUAGGGAUGAAGCGGCUGAAAUGGCUGAGGAGGAACGUCGGCAUGAAGCAGAAAGAAUGAGACGAAAGCGGGGUACCAUUUGAAGUGCCACAACACAGAUUUUGAAUCAGACUGACGUGGAAAUAACCCAGUCAAAUUCGGAUACCGAUCACUUGAGUACAUUGUUGGAAUUGCUAUCAGCUAAGGAGGACAGCUUGUUUGAACUUGAUCAUGGAAUUGAACAGUUAACGCCAUUGGACGGAUUGGAGGUGGAGAUUACAUGCACGGAGGAUUACAAAGAGCGCGUUAUCAUGCUGAAGAGCCGUGCAUAACGAGUGAUAAAGAAAAAACAUGACCUCAAUCCACUACCAGCACAGAUGCUGUUGUUUCCUCAGUUAUUCCCCUUUCAGUGAAGAUGAAACCAGAUGGACAUAACACUGUGUUGCUACAAACGACAAAGGCAUGGGUAGAAGGCCCAUCGGGCAGGAAGAUAGCUCGUUGCUUACUAGAUGGAGGCAGUCAGAGAAGCUUCAUACAUAAAAACCUUGUGAAGGGCUUGAAGCUAUCAGUAAUCAGACAAGAGGCACUCACUCUUCACACGUUUGGCUCCUCUGCUCCAGCAACGUCCCAACGCAACACAGUGAAAGUCUGUGACAAACAGCAGAGAAUAGAGAUAGAGGCAAUUGAAACCCCACAAGUGUGCACAGCUGUGAUGAAGGUUCCUGGUGAACAAGAUUCAACAUGAGCUCAAUAGAAAGGGACUGCAGCUCGCAGACUUUCCAGGAGAUGACAAUGAUCUUGAACUCUCUGUCCUGAUAGGAGCAGACUACUACUGGCAGAUAGUAUCAGGCAGAGUGGAGCGACUGACGGAGACGCUGGUUGCUUUAGAGAGCACCUUUGGAUGGUCGGUGCAGGGACCCGUGUCCAUGUCAAGUGUCGCCGAGGCAACCUGUAUGUUCAUCCCACUUGAUGAAGACACACUAGUCUCCAAACAACUGCAUGCAUUCUGGGAGCUUGAGUCUCUGGGUAUUAUAAGCGAGAAAACACA
rnacentral:lncRNA from 1 species